GCGGGAAUAGCUCAGUUGGUAGAGCACGACCUUGCCAAGGUCGGGGUCGCGAGUUCGAGUCUCGUUUCCCGCUGCCA
rnacentral:tRNA from 1 species